UACGUAGGGUGCAAGCGUUAAUCGGAAUUACUGGGCGUAAAGCGUGCGCAGGCGGUGAUGUAAGACAGAUGUGAAAUCCCCGGGCUCAACCUGGGAACUGCAUUUGUGACUGCAAGGCUGGAGUACGGCAGAGGAGACUGGAAUUCCUGGUGUAGCAGUGAAAUGCGUAGAGAUCGGGAGGAACACCAGUGGCGAAGGCGGCUACCUGGACCAGCACUGACACUGAGGCACGAAAGCGUGGGGAGCAAACAGG
rnacentral:rRNA from 1 species